AUGGUGCUGUGGAGCUGGUCAGACAACGUCCCAGUAGAGACACUGUGGAUCUGGUCAGAGAUAGUCCCAGUACAGAUACUGUGGAGCUGGUCAGACAGAGUCCAAGUAGAGACACUGCGGAGCUGGUCAGAGAGAGUCCCAGUAGAGACUGUGGAGCUGGUCAGAGAGAGUCCCAGUAGAGACACUGUGGAGCUGGUCAGAGAGAGUCCCAGUAGAGACACUGUGGAGCUGGUCAGAGAGAGUCCCAGUAGAGACACUGUGGAGCUGGUCAGAGAGAGUCCCAGUAGAGACUGUGAAGCCUCUGCCAAUUCUCUCCUAAGAGGCGCCUUCCUUUCUUCUGUCCUCCCAACUGCCCNNNNNNNNNNNNNNNNNNNNNNNGAGAGGGAGAGAUCGAGAAAGAGAAAUAAAGAGAGAGAUAGAGAGAGCAGUGCACUGUUGUGGUGUAGCAUUAUUCUUCCAGGGGUUGCCUCAGCUAGGUUCUCUUUAGUAAGUCAGGGGUCGGAGCCAGCAGGAAAAAUGAGCCUCCAGAACCGGAGUGAGCUCACUUUUCAUCUGUUGUACGUGGAGCUCAGUCUGUGAUAUCACAGCAAAGCCGUCUUCUCUCCCUCCCUCUCAACCAGCCCUACCUGGUCUCAUAGACAAGACGUAACAUGGUAAAUGAAAAUCCGGGGCAUAGAUACACAAGACAGAAGGUUACUUAAGACAAAAACUAAAGGGUGGUGGUUGGUCGGGGUGGAUGGGUUAGCUUUUAAUGUGAACAUCUAGCAACCCAAAGGUUACGUGUUCACAUCUUAUCAUGGACAACAUUAGCAUUUUGCCUAAUUAGCAACUUUCACCCUUACACUAACCUAAACUUAACCCCUAACCCAGCAUUUCCAAAAACUCGGUCCUUGGGUUUAAGGUUAGGGCAGAGUCCUUCCAGACUCACGUUAAGCAUCUAUAAUCCAACAUUAAAUCAAUAAUCAGGUUCCUAUUUCGCAACAAAGCUUCCUUCACUCAUGCUGUCAAACAUACCCUCGUCAAACUGACUAUCCUACCGAUCCUUGACUUCGGCGAUGUCAUUUACAAAAUAGCUUAAAACACUCUUCUUGGCAAACUGGAUGCUGUCUAUCACAGUCUCAUCUGUUUUAUCACCAAAGCCCCAUAUACUACCCACCACUGCGACCUGUAUGCUCUCGUUGGCUGGUCCUCGCUUCAUAUUGGGGCGGCAGGGUAGCCUAGUGGUUAGAGCGUUGGACUAGUAACCGAAAGAUUGCAAGUUCGAAUCCCCGAGCUGACAAGGUACAAAUCUGUCGUUCUGUCCCUGAACAGGCAGUUAAUCCUAGGCUGUCAUUGAAAAUAAGAAUUUGUUCUUAACUGACUUGCCUAGUAAAAUAAAGGCACAAAAAAUAAUUUUAAAAAAUUAAAUAUUUGUCGCCAAACCCACUGGCUCUAGAUUGGACUAGUAACCGAAAGUCUUUGCUAGGUAAAGCCCCACCUUAUCUCAGCUCACUGGUCACCAUAGCAACACCCACCCAUAGCACGCACUCCAGCAGGUAAAUUUCACUGGUCAUCCCCAAAGCCUUUAGCCACCUUUCCUUCCAGUUCUCUGCUGCCAAUGACUGGAAACAAUUGCAAAAAUCACUGUCUUAUAUCUCCCUCUCUAACUUUAAGCACCAGCUGUCAGAGCAGCUUACUGAUCACUGUACCUGUACACAGCCAAUCUGUAAAUAGCACACCCAACUACCUCAUCCACAUAUUGUUACCACAUAUUGUUAUCCUCUUGCUCUUUUGUACCCCAGUAUCUCUUACCUGAAUACCAUGCAGGGCCUUAUGGGGGGAGGGGGAGGGGUCUGAAUACCAUGCAGGUCCUUAUGGGGGGGGUCUGAAUACCAUGCAGNNNNNNNNNNUUCUGAAUACCAUGCAGGGCCUUAUGGGGGGAGGGGGGAUCUGAAUACCAUGCAGGGCCUUAUGGGGGGAGGGGGGGUCUGAAUACCAUGCAGGGCCUUAUGGGGGGAGGGGGGGUCUGAAUACCAUGCAGGUUGGAGGGGAUAUACAGCCUGUCCAGGGGAGGGAUGACAUUGAGGGAUGACAUUGAGUGGGUAACACCUCCGUAAUCUGUCAUCCACCCUACAUCUGUACCAUAUCAAAACUGAUAUAAGUGCGCUUGUCCUCAGGACAACCCUCUACAUAAAGGUGACUCUACAUUCACGAGCUAGACAGACAUUGACAUUGGAUGACAUUGGACUGAAAUACAAAAUAAAGCAGCUGCAGUUUUGCCAACUCCAUCCCAAACAGGUAAUUGCAGCAUACCCAUAACAUGUUAACCCACACUGAUCUCACCAUAUUCAUGGAUAAAAUUACUAUUUUCAAACGGGAUAUGGGGCUGUAAUUCGGCAUGUGUAGCUGUGCGGCUGCAGAGCUUGUGCUUAGGCUAUGGGGUGAUUGGUCCAACUGCACACAGCACAUGGCCAGGGGAUAGAUGGCCUAAUUACACUAGGGGAGGUCACUGGCCUCCGUUUCACCAAGGGAUAAAGAUUGCUGGGAUAUCACACUGGAGCUACUUUCCCACCAGAAUUACAUAUUACAAUUCAGACACACGCUGGAGAUAUUCUGCCUCAAC
rnacentral:lncRNA from 13 species